rnacentral:lncRNA from 1 species
GCCAUGACAGGAUCUCCAGCGUCCUCUCCAAGGAGUGGGCCGUCUACCUGCUCUUCAAUGCCCUCUACUUCACCGCCCUCCUCGUGUUCUCCCUCCUCUCGACCUCAGCCAUCGUCUACACCAUCGCGUGCAUCUACACCGGCUGCGAGGUCACGUUCCGGAAGGUGAUGAGCGUGGUCCCGAGGGUCUGGAGGCGGCUGAUGGUCACCUUCGUGUGCAUCUUCCUGGCCAUGUUCGUAUACCACUUGGUCGCCAUGAUGAUCCUGUUCACGUGCGCGAUCUUCAUCGGUGACACGAACUUCGGCAUCCUGAUCCUCUUCCCUCUAGGGAUCGCGUACUUGGUCGGGUUCGUGUACAUGACCAUAGUGUGGCAAUUGGCGAGCGUGGUCUCCGUCCUGGAGGAAGAUUACGGGGUCAAGGCCAUGAUCAAGAGCAAGAACCUGAUAAAGGGGAAGAUCGUUGUGUCCAUAAUCAUAUUCUUUGUGCUCAACAUAUCCUUCUUUCUAAUUCAAUUCGCGUUCAGGAGUUGGGUCGUUUAUGAUCGCCUGGCAGGGACAUUAAGCAGGUCUGGCUAUGGAAUUCUGUGUUUCUUUCUUCUUUCCAUGCUGAUGCUGUUGGGGCUUGUCGUCCAGACGGUGAUCUACUUCGUCUGCAAGUCGUACCACCACGAGAACAUCGACAAGUCGGCCCUGUCGGAUCAUCUCGAGGUCUAUCUCGGAGACUAUGUUCCUCUGAAAUCCAAGGAUGUUCAGCUUGAGCAAUACGACGUUUGACUCUUCCUUCGUGUUCUUCUUAUCCUUUUUCCUUUUUCUGUUUUUUCUUCGGACGAGACAUUUUGAUACUUGAUACCUUAUGCACUAUUAAAAUAUCAAAGCAAAAAUUUUAUUUUCUGUAUCUUAUUUAUCCAUCGGCAAAUGGCUAAGUUAGAUAUAUGCUCUAAUUUUGUAUGAAUAUAUGCAAUAAUUAAGCCAGCCGUCUAUUAUUUUUUGUGUUUGGUGCUCAACCGUGUGGCCGAUUUGAGCCAGUGUCUUUCCCAAGGCGUGUUGACUUUGAAUAAUGGAGUUUUCCAAGUAAUUACGUGGUGCACGCAUAUGUUGACUUUGAAUUCUUCUUGGCCCCGGAAAAAGAAAAAUAUUAGGUUAGCGAAUGGGGCCACGUGUGCGUGAGAGAUCAGAGGAAAUUACUGGGAAAGUUCUAAACCUUGUGCAAAUGUCAAUUUAAUAAUAAUUUUUUUAAUUUGAUCAUUUGAGUUUUAAUUUUUUUAACAAUUAAUCAAUGCGAUUCAUUUGGCUAAUUUUGAUGGGAAAUCGUUGAUGUAAGCGCUAACCGUCCUAUGUGGUAUGUCAUAGUUAAUGUAUAUAAUUUUUUUAAACUUUAUUUUUAAAAUUUUUUCUUCCUAUAUUUUUUCCAUUUCGUUUUGCCAAUUGUUGGCCAUCGCUUGUAAGGGGGGGGGGGGGGGGGUUUACUUGGGUGAGGGCGAGCAUCGAUUACCCUGGCUUGGGCAAGGGUGAGUUUGGCAUAUUUGGCAAGGGUGGUCCUUGCCCUUACCUAAGCAAGGAGGAUCAGCCUUGCUAGGUUCAACAAAAGAAGUCCUUAUUGGUGCUUGCCCUCGCCCAGGCGAGCCCCGAUGAGGUCAGCACUUGCUGCCCAUUGCCUAUGGUCAAUGGGCGGCAACCAAUAACUAACAAAAGGAAAAAGGAAAAAAAUGACUUUUUUCUAAUUUUUUUUAAAAAAAUUAUCCAUAUCAGCGUCAGUCAUGCCAUAUGGACACCAAGGNNNNNNNNNNNNNNNNNNNNNNNNNNNNNNNNNNNNNNNNNNNNNNNNNNNNNNNNNNNNNNNNNNNNNNNNNNNNNNNNNNNNNNNNNNNNNNNNNNNNUUAUGAUUAAAUUGAUCAAGUUAAAAAAUUUAUGAUUGAAUUAACACAAGUGUAAUAGAUUUAUGAUUUUCUUAGUAAUUUCCUUGAGAGAUACAAGGCAAUGAACCUUUUGUAUUAAUUAUCACUAUUAUGUGCUGAAAAGAAACUAAUCUCUUAACUAUUAAUUUUUGAAAAUUAGCGUUCGUCAAUUUAAAUUUCUUCUUCCAACCAAUUUCAUUGUUUGAGAAACAGGGGGAUACAAUAGAAUUGAGCCCCUCCUAAAUAGUAGCUUCAACGUGAUUUUUCAUUUUUUUAAUUGACAUGCAUUAACUACGAGGAGCAACCUAAAUUUCAAACACCUUCUGUCGGCGAUCUACCACAUUAAUAAAUACGACGAGAAACCUCACUCAUGUGACCACUUCAACUUGGGCCAUUCCUCUUUGGUAGCUUUGGAAACGCCAUAUUGUAUUUAAAAAAAUGCUAGUCAUGUAGCAAAGAUAACUCCAACCCAUAAUUCCAGCGUGGGGUAUAGAAGGCUUUGGAGAAAUCGUUAUUUCAGUCGUACUUCUGUCCUACGAAUUUUAGUUUAAUUCUAAAAUUUUCAAUUAAUCAGAUGUAGUCUUAAUAAUUUUAGUACAAAAAAAAAAAUGAUCAAUUUCUCUUAAUCGCGUCUCACUUGCUUUUGCUUUUAUAAUUUUCCAUUGAUUUGUUUUUUGAUAACUUCGUUCGCUACUAUUUUCCAUGUUAUUUCACAAUAAAUACAUCUUCUGCUUGCAAUGAUGUAAGGAAUGUUUUUUUUUUUUUUGGUCUCAAUUUGAAAUAUACAUCGUCGGAAUAAUUGCCAAAUGCAUAAUUUCCUCUAUGAUUAUGUGCCUUUGGAAAGAUGAGUUUCUCCGAUCAUUGAUUCAAUUGUUUUCUUGUUCGUGUGUUUUUCACAAUAUAAAACUACAAUGAGUCUACUAGAGCAUCGUUGCCAUCUUGUUAUAACUUUGUGACGUGUACAAUCCUCUAAAUUUAAAAGUCCUCAAAUAUUGCCUAAUCGCCAAAAGCUUUGCCAUCUUCUAUUGAUUCACUGAGUAUGCAUUGUCCAAAUCGUAUGAUGGUAUAUGAUAAACCUUUGUUUAUGCUGAUGUUUACUUGAUACAUACCUAUCAAAUGGAUAAUGUGUGGUUAUUCGAAACCUUUUUAUAAUCAUCAGCAUGGAGAGGCUAGAGAUGUUGGAGUCAUAUUGUUUAUCGAUGUCGAUUCUCCAUUAUUAAUGUUACUGAGGAUUCAUUCAAUUGUCCAUCAUCGAGUUCUUCUCGUGAUCUGCCCUGCUAUGGAGUUGGAUCCUGCAAUAUUCAUGUGUAGCUGAUGCGAUCCGAUUCAGGCCCUUGAAAAUUAUAAACCCUCCACCCAUCUUUCUCCUUCUUGGCCAUUCCGAGGUUCGAUCCCGUGUCUUGUCCCUUGGUCUCCAACCCCGCGCCGCCACGGACCGCCGCGCCCGAUGGCUCUCUGUUUUCUCCAUCUGGGUUUGUCGGAGUCGAGCCGGGUCUUUCGCUUUAGACCCCAAUCAUCAUCCUUUUGCAUGAAGGCCCAUAGCUGGUUCCUAACUUCCUAAGACCCAAGCUCGUCGACAACUCUUUUCGGCCCCGGAAAGCCGGUUCCAGAAAAGUAGUUGCCAUAUGAUAAGCACCACUCAAAAGUGACAGUUGAUACAAAAGAAACUGUUUUGCUCCCGCGGAAAAGCGGUUCUUUGGGGAUUUGGUUAUUGCAGGGGAAGAACUGGAAAGGCAAGUGAAGCUCGUGCUCGUGGGGUUCUCUUCCCUAGUGCCCCAUCAUCUCUCCCUCCCUCCCUCCCUCUCCCUCUCUCUCUCUCUACCCCUCUACUUUUUCAUUCACAUCUCUAUCAUUGAUUUCUCUGUUCAUUCUGAGCUCUGAACAAGGAGUUCCUCCAACAAGUCCAAUCAUGGUGAAGGAGACCGAGUACUACGACGUUCUCGGCGUCAGCCCUUCUGCCUCCGACGACGAGAUUCGCAAGGCCUAUUAUCUCAAGGUAAAAGAGGCUGUUCUGUUUUCCUUUUCCUGGUUGUUGGAUCGGUUACAUUAGUGACUGAAUCAUGAUUGGUCGAUUCGAAUUUCUUUUCACCAUGAUGUUUUAGUAAACCGAGGCUUUUGGGAUUAGUUCCAAAUGUGAUUGAUCGUCUGAUCAAUCGAUUAUGCUGAAUCAGUUACUCCUGCUCUUUUCCUUAUGGUCAUGUUCAAGAAAUGAAGAAGUCAUUGCCUAGCUGGUCCAAUUUUUUUUUUUUAAAUGAUUUCUUCCGAACUAUGAUAAUUAGUAUAAGCGUUUGAGUUAAGUGCACUAGAAGAGUUUGUGGUAGGUGGAUCGCUUGUUUAAAAGGCUCAUAUGAAAUUUGGCACUUCAUUUAAUACGUCAACUUAAUUUUGCCAAUCUUGGUCGACUGAUAUCGCUGAAUGAAAGAGAUUUAGCACUGCGCUACGCUUUUUUAAGUAACCUAUUAAAACGUGCCCCAUCCGAUGCAUCACCUGUUAUUCAUUAUUGAAAAUAUCAUAUCCUAGCCAUGGUAACCUCACCAGCCUACAACAAUAGACAACAUGUAUGAAAAGUGUUGGCAAUAUUUAUUUGGAAAUUGACAGAAAAUGAAAUUAGGAUUGAAAUUAAGCAUAUUGACUAGAUCUCUUGCCAUAAAUUUAUUUGACUUUUUUGCCAAUCUUCGUCGUCGUUGGACAAUCACUGACUUGGGUUUAGGUUUCUUUAAUUGUCUACUAGAGGCAUUUCGAGAUUCAAAAGUCCAACCAAACCUCCUACAAUCCUCUUUAACUACUCUCUCCCUUCUUUUCCAAUCGUCUUUUUGUUCUUCUUCAUCUUCUCUUCCUCAAGAAAAUCUUUACUGAACGUCAAGGGAUCGACAGAAGCAUGGAUCGAGAGCAAGAAGAGAUGCAGUUCCUUGGCCUCGUCGGCAUCUGCAAAGAGUCCUGCAAGGUCAUCUUCUCAUGGAGGAAGAUCUUCACCCAGAUCACCUUGGCCCUGAUCCUCCCUCUCGCCUUCGCCUUCCUCCUCCACAUCGAAGUCUCCGACGUCCUCCACAGGCGGAUCAUCCGCAACGCGAUCCAGCUCCACGAGACCCGCCCCGAUAGUUCCCGCCACGACAGGAUCUCCAGCGUCCUCUCCAAGGAGUUGACCGUCUACCUGCUCUUCAAUGCCCUCUACUUCACCGUCCUCCUCGUGUUCUCCCUCCUCUCGACCUCGGCCAUCGUCUACACCAUCGCGUGCAUCUACACCGGCCGCGAGGUCACGUUCCGGAAGGUGAUGAGCGUGGUCCCGAGGGUCUGGAGGCGGCUGAUGGUCACCUUCGUGUGCAUCUUCCUGGCCAUGUUCGUAUACCACUUGGUCGCCAUGAUGAUCCUGUUCGCGUGCGCGAUCUUCAUCGGUGACACGAACUUCGGCAUCCGGAUCUUCUAUUUUCUAGGGAUCCCGUACUUGGUCGGGUUCGUGUACAUGACCAUAGUGUGGCAAUUGGCGAGCGUGGUCUCCGUCCUGGAGGAAGAUUACGGGGUCAAGGCCAUGAUCAAGAGCAAGAACCUGAUAAAGGGCAAGAUGGUUGCGUGCAUAAUCAUAUUCUUCGUACUCACCAUUUCCUACUUCCUAAUUCAAUUCGCGUUCAGGAGGUUGGUCGUCUAUGGCCGCUCGGCAGAGAUGUUAGGCAGGUCUGGCUAUGGAGCUCUGUGUUUCUUUUUUCUUUCCUUGCUGAUGCUGUUGGGGCUCGUCGUCAAGACGGUGAUCUACUUCGUCUGCAAGUCGUACCACCACGAGAACAUCGACAAGUCGGUCCUGUCGGAUCAUCUCGAGGUCUUUCUCGGAGAAUAUGUUCCUCUCAAAUCCAAGGAUGUUCAGCUUGAGCAAUCCGACGUUUGACUCUUCCUUCGUGUUCUUCUUAUCCUUUUUCCUUUUUCUGUUUUUUCUUCCGUGGGACGAGAUAUUUAGAUACUUGAUACCUUAUGCACUAUUAAAAUAUCAAAGCAAAAAUUUUAUUUUCUGUAUCUUGUUUAUCCAUCGGCAAAUGGCUAAGUUAGAUGUAUGCUCUAAUUUUGUAUGAAUAUAUGCAAUAAUUAAGCCGGCCGUCUAUUAUUUUUUGUGUUUGGUGCUCAACCGUGUGGCCGAUUUGAGCCAGUGUCUUUCCCAAGGCGUGUUGACUUUGAAUGAUGGAGUUUUCCAAGUAAUUACGUGGUGCACGCAUAUGUUGACUUUGAAUUCUUCUUUGGCCCCGGAUAAAGAAACAUAUUACGUAGCGAAUGGGGCCACGUGUGCGUGGGAGAUCAGAGGAAAUUACUGGGAAAGUUCUAAACCUUGUGCAACUGUCAAUUUAAUAAAAAACUUUUAAUUUAAGCAAUUGAGUUUUAAUUUUUUUAACAAUUAAUCAAUGCGAUUCAUUUGGCUAAUUUUGGUGGGGAAUCAUUGAUGUAAGCGCUAACCGUCCUAUGUGGCAUGCCAUAGUUAAUGUAUAUAACUUCUUCUUUUUUAAAAAAAAUUUCUUCCCAUAUUUUUUUCUUUUCUUUUUGCCAAUUGUCGGCCAUCACUUGUAAGGGAUGGGCGGGAUUACCCUAGCUUGGGCAAGGGUCAGUUUGGCAUAUUUGGCAAGGGUGGUCCUUGCCCUCACCUAGGCAAGGAGGAUCAGCCUUGCUAAAUUCAACAAAAGAAGCCCUUAUUGGUGCUUGCCCUAGCCCAGGCGAGCCCAGAUGAGGCCAGCACUUGCCGCCCAUCGCUUAUGGUCAAUGAGCGGCAACCAACAACUGACAAAAGGAAAAGGGAAAAAAAUGAUAUUUUUAAUUUUUUUUAAAAAAAUUAUCCAUAUUAGUAUCAAUCAUGCCGUGUUGGACGACCAAGGUCCACGUCAAUGAUUUUCUAGCGAAAUCGGCUUGGGUGGACUACGUUAGUUAAAUUGUCAAAAGAUUUAUGACUAAAUUGAUCAAGUUAAAAAAUUUAUAAUUGAAUGAACAUAAGUGUAAUAGAUUUAUGAUUUUCUUAUUAAUUUCCUUGAGAGAUACAAGGCGAUGAACCUUUUGUAUUAAUUAUCACUAUUCUGUGCUGAAAAGAAACUAAUCUCUUAAAUAUUAAUUUUUGAAAAUUAGCAUUGGUCAAUUUAAAUUUCUUCUUCCAACCAAUUUCAUUGUUUGAGAAACAGGGGGAUACUACUUCAACUUGGGGCAUUCCACUUUGGUAGCUUUGGAAACGCCAUAUUGUAUUUAAAAAAAUGCUAGUCAUGCAGCAAAGAUAACUCCAACCCAUAAUUCCAGCGUGGGGUACAGAAGGCUUUGGAGAAAUCGUUAUUUCAGUCCUACUUCUGUCCUACAAAUUUUAGUUUAGUUCUAAAUUUUUUAAUUAAUCAGAUGUAGUCUUAAACCUUUUANNNNNNNNNNNNNNNNNNNNNNNNNNNNNNNNNNNNNNNNNNNNNNNNNNNNNNNNNNNNNNNNNNNNNNNNNNNNNNNNNNNNNNNNNNNNNNNNNNNNUCGUUCACUACCAAGCUACAUUGUUAUUUCACAACAAAUACAUCUUCUGCCUGCAAUGAUGUAAGGAAUGUUUUUUCUUUUCUUUUUUUGCCUCAAUUUGAAAUAUACAUCGCUGGAAUAAUUACCAAAUGCAUAAUUUCCUCUACGAUUAUGUGCCUUUCAAAAGAUGAGUUUCUCCGAUCUUUCAAUUGUUUUCUCGUUCGCCGUCUUUUUCACAAUAUAAAAUGACAGUGAGUCUGCUAGAGCAUCGUUGCCAUCCUGCUAUAACUUUGUGAUUUAUAUGAUUCUCUAAAUUUAAAAGUCCGCAAAUCUUGCCUAAUCGCCAAAAGCUUUUCCAUCUUCUAUUGAUUACGCUGAGUAUGCAUUGUCCAAAUCGUAUGAUGGUAUAUGAUAAAUCCUUUGUUUAUGCUGAUGUUUACUUUAUACAUACCCAUCAAAUGGAUAAUUUGUGGUUAUUCGAAACCUUUUUAUUCUCAUCAGCAUGGAGAAGCUAGAGAUGUUGGAGUCAUAUUGCCUAUCAAUGUCGAUUCUCCAUUAGUAAUGUUAUUAAGGAUUCAUUCAAUUGUCCAUCAUCGAGUUCUUCUCAUGAUCUGCCCUGCUAUGGAGUUGGAUCCUGCAAUAUUCAUGCGUAGCCGAUGUGAUCCGAUUCAGGCCCUUGAGAAUUACAAACCCGCCACCCAUCUUUCUUCUUCUUGGCCAUUCCGAGGUUCGAUCCCGUGUCUUGUCCCUUGGUCUCCAACCCCGUGCCGCCACGGACCGCCGCGCCCGAUGGCUCUCUGUUUUCUCCAUCUGGGUUUGUCGGAGUCGAGCCGGGUCUUUCGCUUUAGACCCCAAUCAUCAUCCUUUUGCAUGAAGGCCUGCCGUCUUUUGAAGGCCCGUAGCUGGUUCCUAAGACCCAAGCUCGUCGACAGCUCUUUCCGGACCCGGAAAGCUGGCUCCAGAAAAGCAGUUGCCAUAUGAUAAGCGCCACUGAAAAGUGACGGUUGAUACAAAAGAAACUGUUUUGCUCCCGCGGAAAAGCGGUUCCUUGGGGAUUUAUUUAUUGCAGGGGAAGAACUGGAAAGGCAAGUGAAGCUCGUGCUCGUGGGGUUCUCUUCCCUAGUGCCCCAUCAUCUCUCCCUCCCUCCCUCCCUCCCUCCCUCUCUCUCUCUCUCCCCCUCUCUCUCUCUCUCUACCCCUCUACUUUUUCAUUCACAUCUCUUUCAUUGAUUUCUCUGUUCAUUCUGAGCUCUGAACAAGGAGUUCCUCCAACAAGUCCAAUCAUGGUGAAGGAGACCGAGUACUACGACGUUCUCGGCGUCAGCCGUUCUGUCUCCGAUGACGAGAUUCGCAAGGCCUAUUAUCUCAAGGUAAAACAGGCGGUUCUGCUUUCCUUUUCCUGGUUGUUGGAUCGGUUACAUUAGUGACUGAGUCGUGAUUGGUCGAUUCGAAUUUCUUUUCACAACUAUGUUUUAGUAAACUGAGGCUUCUGGGAUUAGUUCCAAAUGUGAUUGAUCUCUGAUUAAUCGAUUCUAGGGAAAAGUACAAAAAAAGUUCUAAACCUAUUGUAUUUGUACUAAUUCAGUCCUAAACUUUUCAAUUGAACUAAUUUAGUCCUAAACCUUUUAAUAUUGGUACCAAUUUAGUCCAUUCGGCCAAUUUUGGCUAGCCGGUGCUGAUGUGGACGUCGGCCGGUGGUCGGACGCUAACGUGGCAAUUUUUAUGUUUUUUUUUUUUUUUCGAAUUUUUUAUUAAUUUUUUCUCUUUCUUUUUUUUUUUCUUUUUCUUUUCCGGUGGUGGUGAGGCUCGUUGGCCUCGCCGACCACUGGGUGAGGGCCGUGAAGCCCUCGCCUACCGCCGGUGAGGGUUGCGGCCCUCGCCCGGCCUCUCCUAGGCCGCCGGCGAGGCGGCUUCGCCCGAAUCUGGGCGAGGCUGGCCUCGCCCAGGUCUUGCCGUGGGCGAAGGUGGCCUCGCCCGCGGCUGGCGAGGCCAUGGAGGCCAUCGCGAAGGCGGAGGCAAGGGCCGUGAAGCCCUCGCCAACCGCUGGAGAGGGUUGCGGCCCUCGGCCCUCGCCUCCGCCCUGGUGAUGGCCGCCUUCACACCAGCAAAGCCGAAAGUGCAGCACAGCGCAAAACUCAGAUUUUUCCAUCCCGCGAAGUGAACCCGCAAAACCCAUUCCUCCUCUCUCUCUCUCUCUCUCUCUCUCUCUCUCUCUCUCUCGCCUUUGCUGAACCCACCAUCUCCCGCAGAAGCUUCGGGAAAUGGUGGAAAGCCCGAUUGAAUCUAGAGAACUUCCCCCUUCUUCUCGCUUCGGAUUGGAGGAGAGCAGGUGGUGGUUGCUUGAUCGGGGGGAGCGAUGGGGGACACGAACGCCGUGGCCGGUAGCCUGACCUGGGUGAGGCCAGCCUCGCCUAGAUCUGAGCGAAGCCGCCUCGCCGACGGCUUGGGAGAGGCCCGGCGAGGGCAGGCGAGGGCUUCAGGGCCCUCGCCCAAUGGCCGGCGAGCCUCACCGGAGGCUGGCCGGCCACCGCCGAAAAAGAAAUGGAAAAAGAAAAAAAUAAUAAGAAAAAAUUAAUAAAAACAUUCGAAAAAAUCAUAAAAAUUGCCACGUUAGCGUCCGGUCACUGACUGACGUCCAUGUCAGCGCCGGCCGAUCAAAAUGGGCCGGAUGAACUAAAUUAGUAUCAAUAUUAAAAGGUUUAUGACUAAAUUGAUCCAAUUAAGAAGUUUAUGACUAAAUUUGUACCAAUACAAUAGAUUUAGGACUUUUUUGGUACUUUUCCCAUUGAUUUUGUUGAAUUGGUUACUCCUGCCCUUUUCCUGAUGGUCGUGUUCAAUAAAUGAAGAAGUCAUUGUCUAGCUGGUCCACUUUUUUUUUUUUUUUCUCAGGUGAUUUCUUCCGAACUGUGAUAAUUAGUAUAAGCGUUUGAGUUAAGUGCACCGGAAGAGUUUGCAGUAGGUGGAUCGCUUGUUACAUGUUCGGUGCGUGGAUUAGGAUUAUUGGAAUACAAAAGAAAGCUGGUUUAGCUUCCCUUCUAUAUUUAUGUCCUCUGUACAGCUCACCUUUUUCAGUUGUCUCUAGAGUCGAGCAAUAAUGUCCAUCCGUCUCGUUGUCACCAAUUUUCAAGGUACAUCAAUUCACAGGAUUUUAUGAUAUUAUGUAUGAAUCGCAUCAUCGAUAACAUAUUUAGAAAUUUUGAAUUUCAAUAUAAAAUAAUACGAAUUAUAUUAAGAGUACCAUGUUAAAUGAUGCGAUAAUUUUUUAUUAAAUAAUAAGAUAUGACAGCUCGUUUACUUAAAAGGCACUUCAUUUAAUGCGUCAAUACGCUUUUUCGUGUAACCAAUUAAGAUGUGUCCCAUCUGAUGCAUUGCCCGUUAACCUAGGUGACCUCACCAGCCUACAGCAUAGACAACAUGUAUGAAAAGAGCCAGCGAUAUUUAUUUGGCAAUCGACAGAAAAAUGAAAUUAGGAUUGGAAUUAAGCAUAUUGACUAGGUCUCUUGCCAAUUAUUUAUUUGACUUUUUUUUUCCCAACUUCGUCGUCAAUCGAUUGGGCGAUGACAUUGACUUGACUUGGGUUUAGGUUUUUUCAAAUGUCUACCAGAGGCAUUUCGAGAUUGAAAAGUCCAGCCAAACCUCCUACAGUCCUCUUCAACUACUCUCUCCCCAUAUCCUUUCUUCCUUCUUCUUCAUCUUCUCUUCCUCGAGAAAAUCUUCACUGAACGUCAAGGGAUCGACAGAAGCAUGGAUCGAGAGCAAGAAGAGAUGCAGUUCCUCGGCCUCGUCGGCAUCUGCAAAGAGUCCUGCAAGGUCAUCUUCUCAUGGAGGAAGAUCUUCAUCCAGAUCACCUUGGCCCUGAUCCUCCCUCUCGCCUUCGUCUUCCUCCUCCACAUCGAAGUCUCCGACGUCCUCUACUGGCGGAUCGUCCGCAACGCGAUCCAGCUCAACGAGACCCGCCCCGAUAGUUCCCGCCACGACAGGAUCUCCAGCGUCCUCUCCAAGGAGUUGACCGUCUACCUGCUCUUCAAUGCCCUCUACUUCACCGUCCUCCUCGUGUUCUCCCUCCUCUCGACCUCGGCCAUCGUCUACACCAUCGCGUGCAUCUACACCGGCCGUGAGGUCACGUUCCGGAAGGUGAUGAGCGUGGUCCCGAGGGUCUGGAGGCGGCUGAUGGUCACCUUCGUGUGCAUCUUCCUGGCCAUGCUCGUAUACACCUCGGUCGCCAUGAUGAUCCUGUUCACGUGCG